rnacentral:tRNA from 1 species
GGCCCCUUCGUCUAAUGGUUAGGACAUCACCCUUUCAAGGUGGAAAUACGGAUUCGAAUUCCGUAGGGGUCACCA